GACGAACGCUGGCGGCGCGCUUAACACAUGCAAGUCGAACGGAAAGGCCUGCUUUCCCUUGUGGAUUGCGGGUACUCGAGUGGCGAACGGGUGAGUAACACGUGAGUGAUCUGCCCCCAACUUGGGUAUAAGCCUGGGAAACUGGGUCUAAUUCCCGAUAGGACUGCAGGGUGGUGCCUGUGGUGGAAAACGAUUUUCUAGUGGUUGGGGAUGAGCUCGCGGCCUAUCAGCUUGUUGGUGGGGUAAUGGCCUACCAAGGCGGCGACGGGUAGCCGGCCUGGGGGGGUGGACGGCCACAGUGGGACUGAGAUACGGCCCUGACGCCUACGGGAGGCAGCAGUGGGGAAUAUUGCACAAUGGGCGGGAGCCUGAUGCGGCGACGCCGCGUGGGGGAUGACGGCCUUCGGGUUGUAAACUCCUUUCGACCGCGAGGAAGCCACCUGGUUGGAAGGGUGGUGACGGUAGUGGUAGAAGAAGCACCGGCUAACUACGUG
rnacentral:rRNA from 1 species